CUUUAUUGGCAUCAUUUUGAGCCUGUGUUGAUGGCUUCUCACAAGCACAUGCUUCCUCUCUAGCUUGAAAAUGCGGAUGUCCUUCAUUACCUACUCCACACAGGGCCACACCCUUAUGACGCUCACAUCAGACAGAAAUGAAAUAAGUGAUGGUCUCACUAAACUCCAGAAUAUAGUGCCUACCGGAGCCACAAAUAUGCAGGAAGGAUUUAAAAAGGCAAAUGAGCAGAUUGAACAAGAAAAUGCCAAAGGUAAGUUGCCUGGUGACUUCA